rnacentral:rRNA from 1 species
GACGAACGCUGGCGGCGUGCUUAACACAUGCAAGUCGAACGGAAAGGCCCUGCUUUUGUGGUGUUCUCGAUUGGCGAACGGGUGAGUAACACGUGAGUAACCUGCCCUUGACUUUGGGAUAACUUCAGGAAACUGGGGCUAAUACCCGAUAGGAGCUCCUGCUCCAUGGUGGUGGUUGGAAAGUUUCGGCGGUUGGGGAUGGACUCGCGGCUUAUCAGCUUGUUGGUGGGGUAGUUGCUUACCAGGGCUUUGACGGGUAGGCGGCCUGGGAGGGUGACCGGCGACAUUGGGCCUACGAUACGGAGCAGUAUGCUACGGGAGGCAGUGGGGGGGAAUCUUGCACAAUGGGCGGACGCCUGAUGCAGAGACGCCGCGUGCGGGAUGACGGCCUUCGGGUUGUAAACCGAUUUCGCCUGUGACGAAGCGUGAGUGACGGUAAUGGGUAAAGAAGCACCGGCUAACUACGUG